UACGGAGUGUGCAAGCGUUACUCGGAAUCACUGGGCAUAAAGGGCGCGUAGGCGGGUUUCCAAGUCGGUUGUGAAAUCCCUCAGCUCAACUGAGGAACUGCAUCCGAUACUGUUUGUCUUGAGGACGGGAGGGGAGAGUGGAACUUCUGGUGAAGCGGUGAAAUGCGUAGAUAUCAGAAGGAACGCCGGUGGCGAAAGCGACUCUCUGGCCCGUAUCUGACGC
rnacentral:rRNA from 1 species